rnacentral:rRNA from 1 species
AGUGAACGCUGGCGGUAGGCCUAACACAUGCAAGUCGAACGGCAGCACAGUAAGAGCUUGCUCUUACGGGUGGCGAGUGGCGGACGGGUGAGGAAUACAUCGGAAUCUACUUUUUCGUGGGGGAUAACGUAGGGAAACUUACGCUAAUACCGCAUACGACCUACGGGUGAAAGCAGGGGAUCUUCGGACCUUGCGCGAUUGAAUGAGCCGAUGUCGGAUUAGCUAGUUGGCGGGGUAAAGGCCCACCAAGGCGACGAUCCGUAGCUGGUCUGAGAGGAUGAUCAGCCACACUGGAACUGAGACACGGUCCAGACUCCAACGGGAGGCAGCAGUGGGGAAUAUUGGACAAUGGGCGCAAGCAUGAUCCAGCCAUACCGCGUGGGUGAAGAAGGCCUUCGGGUUGUAAAGCCCUUUUGUUGGGAAAGAAAAGCAGCAGGUUAAUACCCCGCUGUUCUGACGGUACCCAAAGAAUAAGCACCGGCUAACUUCGU